CUGGAACCCUGAGAUUGCCUCUUGCUUGUCUGGAUGGAGGGCAGGGGGCAGAGAAGGGUAAGCAAGUGUGUGUAGAAGUAAGCCUGCUGUUCAAAGGUAAAGAUUAUCUUCUCCACCUGUUUUAGCCUCCGGCCCUACCCAUUGCUGCCAUGUGGCCCCAGGAACGUUGAGCAGAAGGGAAUGCGGUCCUCAGGCUGGCAAAUCUCCACUCCAGGGCAACCACCAAAUAAGGCCCUUGACUGUGGGGCUGCUGUUCUGGCUAGUAGGUACACAUACCAUUGGACAUUUCACGAAUGAAAAUAGGGACAGUCUUUUACGUGUUGAGUGCCCCUUCUCUCUCAACCAGGGUGACUUCUUGAGGGCUUUUCCCCUGCUGAAGAUAUAUACCAUCUACUGGCGGCUGCCUGCUUUGUGGUAACCAUGGGAUAGAAAGAUGGCUCAAACAUUACAACUGAGAAUUGGAUGUAAUUUCUAGAACUCUGAAUACUACAGUGAUUAAAGGCCCAGGCUUGGCAGUGCCAUCUUUAUUUCAAGGAGCAAAUAAAGAUAUUUUGUUUAAGACAUAAAUAGUCCAUUUCCUGGUAGCAUCCCAGAUAAGAGAUUGGAUUCUCAUGGGGAAGUGAUCGUUGUUUUACUACGCAAAAUUGGUAUGGUAGUGUUUUGAAAGUUGCCCUUGUAGACAAUCUAACACAACAUUGCAGAGGAGUCAGAUGUGACAUUUCCAGAGGUAAGUUUCACAAUAACUGGCCUCUCUUCAUGAAUUUCAUAAAUUCCUUACCAGAAGGACCUAGACCACCUUCUGUUCACUUUUGUUUUUGGAGAGGC
rnacentral:lncRNA from 1 species